UGCGUAGGCGGAAGAUUAAGUCAGUGGUGAAAUCCUGCAGCUCAACUGUAGAACUGUCAUUGAUACUGAUCUUCUUGAAUACAGUUGAGGUAGGCGGAAUAUGUAAUGUAGCGGUGAAAUGCUUAGAUAUUACAUAGAACACCGAUUGCGAAGGCAGCUUACUAAACUGUGAUUGACGCUGAGGCACGAAAGCGUGGGGAGCGAACAGGAUUAGAUACCCUGGUAGUCC
rnacentral:rRNA from 1 species